rnacentral:rRNA from 1 species
UACGUAGGGUGCAAGCGUUAAUCGGAAUUACUGGGCGUAAAGUGUGCGCAGGCGGCCGCGCAAGUCGAGUGUGAAAGCCCCGGGCUUAACUUGGGAAUUGCGCUCGAAACUACGUGGCUGGAGUGUGGCAGAGGAAGGUGGAAUUCCAGGUGUAGCGGUGAAAUGCGUAGAGAUCUGGAGGAACACCGAUGGCGAAGGCAGCCUUCUGGGCCAACACUGACGCUCAUGCACGAAAGCGUGGGGAGCAAACAGG